GACGAACGCUGGCGGCGUGCCUAACACAUGCAAGUCUAACGGGAAAGUUGACUUCGGCCGGCGAGUACCGUGGCGAACGGGUGAGUAACACGUGGGUAAUCUAACCUCGGGUUCGGGAUAACCUUGCGAAAGCGGGGCUAAUACCGGAUAAGACCACGCCCAGUCCGCUGGGCGGGGUAAAAGGCGGCCUCUUCGUGAAAGCUGUCGCUUGAGGAUGAGCCCGCGGCCUAUUAGCUAGUUGGUGGGGUAACGGCCUACCAAGGCGACGAUGGGUAGCGGGCGUGGGAGGGUGUACGGCCACACUGGCACUGGGAUACGGGCCAGACUCCUACGGGAGGCAGCAGUGGGGAAUUUUGCGCAAUGGGGGAAACCCUGACGCAGCAACGCCGCGUGAGUGAUGAAGGCCUUCGGGUCGUAAAGCUCUUUUAGUGGGGAAGAAUCCCACCCGGGCUAAUAUCCCGGGUGUCUGACGGUACCCACAGAAAAAGUUCCGGCUAACUACGUGCCAGCCGCCGCAGUAACAC
rnacentral:rRNA from 1 species